rnacentral:misc_RNA from 1 species
AAGUCGUAACAAGGUUUCCGUAGGUGAACCUGCGGAAGGAUCAUUAUUGAGACAGGGUCCUCACGGGCCCGACCUCCAAUCAUUUGUUUAAACUACUUUGUUGCUUUGGCAGGCCCGCCCCUCCCAGUGGGGGGCCGCUGGGGACGUCGAGUCGUCUUUGGUCAGCGCCUGCCGGUAGCCAAUUUAAAUUCUUUAUAACCAUGUCGUCUGAGUCUCAAUUAAUAAUUUAAUUAAAA